rnacentral:rRNA from 1 species
AGCGGCAGGCUUAACACAUGCAAGUCGAGGGGUAGAAGGAGCUUGCUCCUUUGAGACCGGCGCACGGGUGCGUAACGCGUAUGCAAUCUACCUUGUACAGGGGGAUAGCCCAGAGAAAUUUGGAUUAAUACCCCAUAGUAUUUUCAGAUGGCCUCAUUUGAUUAUUAAAGUUCCAACGGUACAAGAUGAGCAUGCGUCCCAUUAGCUAGUUGGUGUGGUAACGGCAUACCAAGGCAACGAUGGGUAGGGGUCCUGAGAGGGAGAUCCCCCACACUGGUACUGAGACACGGACCAGACUCCUACGGGAGGCAGCAGUGAGGAAUAUUGGUCAAUGGGCGCAAGCUUGAACCAGCCAUGCCGCGUGCAGGAUGACGGUCCUAUGGAUUGUAAACUGCUUUUGUACAGGAAGAAACCCUCCCUUGUAAGGGAGCUUGACGGUACUGUAAGAAUAAGGAUCGGCUAACUCCGUGCCAGCAGCCGCGGUAAUACGGAGGAUCCAAGCGUUAUCCGGAAUCAUUGGGUUUAAAGGGUCCGUAGGCGGUUUUAUAAGUCAGUGGUGAAAUCUGGUCGCUCAACGAUCAAACGGCCAUUGAUACUGUAAGACUUGAAUUACUUGGAAGUAACUAGAAUAUGUAGUGUAGCGGUGAAAUGCUUAGAGAUUACAUGGAAUACCGAUUGCGAAGGCAGGUUACUACGAGUAUAUAUGACGCUGAUGGACGAAAGCGUGGGGAGCGAACAGGAUUAGAUACCCUGGUAGUACACGCCGUAAACGAUGGAUACUCGCUGUUUGGAGCAAUCUGAGUGG